CCCCGGCCCGGGAACUCACCCUCGAGUCCAAGGCGUGGAACGAUCCCCGGUCCCGGUGGAGGCGACGCGCGACUGGUGGCGGCGCUGUAGCGGCUGUCGCGGCGACGGACACGACGACUCGUCGCUUUCCCCGCGGCAUCCAUCAGUUCUGUCCACCUUCUCGACACGGGCUUCGCCUGUUGUUGGUUCGCAAUCAGGGCUUGGCACCUCGCGAGGCCGCCGCAUGUGCCUCCGCCGCGGCGUGUGCCCGUCAUCACCUCGCGCCAAGCCCCUAGCUACCCCGUGCCCUCUCUGAAUUUUUUUUUCCAUGUGCGCUUGUUUCACCAGAUAUGGUAUUGUUUGUUUGUUCCCAGAGGCUAGAAGUACUGAACUAGUGAUGCACUGAUGCUUGUCUUUACUCACCCUGCUCUUUGCUUCCCAUUAAUGACUACCCAUAAUUUUAGCGUAUAUGGAAAAUUCAGAGUGAAUUACAUGGUACAACUGUGGUCUGCAUGCCAGGGACUCACGCAGCAUUUGAUCCAUAGUUUCAGCAAUGUUUGAGUGCUAAUUGUCGGUUAGUUGCUCUUUUUGGAUUUAACCAUGCGCUCUGAAUGUUUCAGAAAUGGUUAACAGUUUGGCGGGAUCACUGGUGAGGCGGCAAAAUCCCCAUCGACAGGAAGAUGAUCAAGCUGUACUGCCCUUUCAUCGCAUCCUUGCAUUGCAUCUGUGAUCUGUCAUAGCAGGAGUAGCAGGAAUCCUUGCUAGCUUUUAGCACACGGUUAAGCCUAUUCCUCUUCCAGCUCAGCUGUUCUCUGCCUGAGCCCUGUACAGUAAUCGAAAUAAUGGAGAGGAGAAUUUUUUAGCAUAUAUGUCUUGAAGCUGCAUACAUACAAAUAAGGUACAAGGAUGUAGCAACAAAAUAGAAUGUCUAAAAUCUAAUGAGCCGCAUAGAUACAGUUACAACAUUCUCCAAGACCUUUGUUGUCUCCUGGGCUCUUCUUUUCUUUUCAGGCUCGAGCACCACAAAUAGAAGUUUAGUUCAACUACAGCCAAAAGUGCCAAACAACAUCCGAGUCUCCGCGGGACUGCAACUUUGUGUACGCUGUUCCGUCUUUGUGUCAGAUUCCAACUUUGCGGGCACUGGCCUAGACUGCAGCUUCAGUGCUGCACUGCACAAACAAGAUUUUUAGAAGCAGAAGAAUAAAAAAAAGAAUAAAAAAAGAAACAGAGUCAUGUGUUUUCAAGAAGGAGAAAGAAACAGAGUCAUGGCAUCGGCUGAGUUGGGUUCAAAAAGUUCAGAGAGCUACUGGUGUUAAACCAUGGGUUCAGAUGCAGUUUAAGCACGGUGCACCUUCAUAUUGGUAGGCUUGUGUCAUUGUGUGCACAUGUAUGCAGAGAAAGAAAUCAAUUUACUUUCUAUUGUUGUAUCAUUACAUAUAGUGAUAUCUUGCAAGUUACUUAACUGUUCAUGAUCCUACUUGAAAUGACGACAGUUGAAAUACAUAGGUCCUGCUGUAUUUAUUCAGAUAUUCAGAUUUUUGUAAAGUGAUAUAAAGAAAUGAACUAAACUUGGGUGUUUUA